GACGCCCGCAGGGGAGCGGCAGACGGGUGAGUUACGCGUGGGAACGUACCCUUUUCUACGGAAUAACCCAGGGAAACUUGGACUAAUACCGUAUGUGCCCUUCGGGGGAAAGAUUUAUCGGAAAAGGAUCGGCCCGCGUUGGAUUAGCUAGUUGGUGGGGUAAAGGCCUACCAAGGCGACGAUCCAUAGCUGGUCUGAGAGGAUGAUCAGCCACAUUGGGACUGAGACACGGCCCAAACUCCUACGGGAGGCAGCAGUGGGGAAUAUUGGACAAUGGGCGCAAGCCUGAUCCAGCCAUGCCGCGUGAGUGAUGAAGGCCCUAGGGUUGUAAAGCUCUUUCACCGGUGAAGAUAAUGACGGUAACCGGAGAAGAAGCCCCGGCUAACUUCGUGCCAGCAGCCGCGGUAAUACGAAGGGGGCUAGCGUUGUUCGGAUUUACUGGGCGUAAAGCGCACGUAGGCGGAUCGAUCAGUCAGGGGUGAAAUCCCAGAGCUCAACUCUGGAACUGCCUUUGAUACUGUCGAUCUGGAGUAUGGAAGAGGUGAGUGGAAUUCCAGUGUAAGGGUGAAAUUCAAAUAUUCGGAGGAACACCAGUGGGGAAGGGGGUCAUGGG
rnacentral:rRNA from 1 species